UACGUAGGCAGCGAGCGUUGUUCGGAAUUACUGGGCGUAAAGAGUGUGUAGGCGGUGCUCUAAGUUCGGUGUGAAAUCUCCCGGCUUAACUGGGAGGGUGCGCCGGAAACUGGAGUGCUCGAGCGUGGGAGAGGAAAGCGGAAUUCCUGGUGUAGCAGUGAAAUGCGUAGAUAUCAGGAGGAACACCUGCGGUGUAGACGGCUUUCUGGACCAUUGCUGACGCUGAGACACGAAAGCGUGGGUAGCAAACAGG
rnacentral:rRNA from 1 species